UUUAUAAGAAUCUCUUCCAUUCACGGCCCUUCGUUCAUCUCUAGGACUGUUCAUCGGGUUCCGGAAAUCCUAGUAUAUCCAAACCAGAAUUUGGAUUUUAAAUCCGAGACGGAACUCGGGUGAAUUCGGGUUGUAAAUUCAGAACCUUUUUAUUUUUUCAGUUUGAAUGUUUUGAUUUUUUUAUCGCUUUGCGGCAUGCUAUUAUCCAGGAAGAGCCUCUCUGGAUUGUGUUCAAGCGGGUGGGACAUGGUUUAAUUGCCAGAAGAGCAACAGUUUAUCUUUCCGUCUCUGAAAAUGAUUAGGUUAAAAGAAGGAAGCUGUUAUGGGCACUUUACCUUAUGAGAGAGACCCUUUCUUUGGCGCAAGUAUACCAGGCAAAGACUCGGAAGCACCAAGAACAUUUUGGAACCUGUACCGAUUCUUGGGUUUCUGGCUGCAGAAGAUUUCUAAGAAAUCCAAAGAUUGCAGAGAGUGACCUCUGAUAUGCAAAAUAAUACACAAGCUUCCAAAGGCUUUGAUUCCAUUCCUCACCCUCCAAUGCGUCAUAUCUGUAACUGGAAAAAAUUAAAGCUGGGUCACAUGGUAUGGAACAUAAAGUGCUCAUCGAUCUCCAUUUCUUUAUGAACUUUGACGAUUCCGAAUCGUUUUUCUUCCAGUUUUCAUGACAACUUGUGGGAAAGAUGCAUGGUCCCUCCUUAUCUCUACUUUCCACUUGCUUUUUUUUUUUUUCAUUCAUUCAUUUGUUGUCCCACUUGCAGAGUUUCUUUUCUGGACAAUUAUUUUAUUGGAACUCAUUUAUAAAUUU